AACGAACGCUGGCGGCAGGCUUAACACAUGCAAGUCGAACGCCCCUUCGGGGAGUGGCAGACGGGUGAGUAACGCGUGGGAAUCUACCCAGUUCUGCGGAACAACAGUUGGAAGCGACUGCUAAUACCGCAUACGCCCUACGGGGGAAAGAUUUAUCGGAAUUGGAUGAGCCCGCGUAAGACUAGCUAGUUGGUGAGGUAAUGGCUCACCAAGGCGACGAUCUUUAGCUGGUCUGAGAGGAUGAUCAGCCACACUGGGACUGAGACACGGCCCAGACUCCUACGGGAGGCAGCAGUGGGGAAUAUUGGACAAUGGGCGCAAGCCUGAUCCAGCCAUGCCGCGUGAGUGAUGAAGGCCUUAGGGUUGUAAAGCUCUUUCAGUAGGGAAGAUAAUGACGGUACCUACAGAAGAAGCCCCGGCUAACUUCGUGCCAGCCGCCGCCGUAAUAC
rnacentral:rRNA from 1 species